AGAACGGGAGUCCGUUCUUCCUGGCCUUGUGAACCAUAAGAAUUGCCGAUGGCCGUUCGGAAAGCUCUAGAAGGUGGAGAGCGUAGACGCACACGCCUUGACGCUUCUCCGUUCCUCGAGAUGCUUCGAUGAGGUUGAUCAAUCCAGGUAUGUUUCUUGAAGAAUGGAAGCAUGCCAAAAGUCUGAAUUGAUCGGUUGGAUCUUUCCUCUCGAUCGUUCUGUGCUUGUACUCUGUUUUCGAAGCUCGCUUCGCCGGCUUGUAGACCGCCGUUACGAGCGGAGUUGUGAUGAAGGUUGUGAAUAUCGCCAUCAGGACUAGGAUUGAGAAUGUUUGCUCGUUCAGAACCUGUUGAAUUAGGGAUUCACAGAUUAGAUUGAAGAUUGACAGAAAUUAGGGCCAAAAUUGAUUGAAGACUUAUGCAUAUACCUUUCUGUCUCUGCCAAUGUUGAGAACAAUUAGCUCAACCAAUCCUUUGGUGUUCAUCAGGAAUCCAAUGGCUAAUGCUUCCUGGAAUGGCAUUUUGCAGAGGAGGGAAACGACGACUGUGCCAAAGAUCUUGCCAAAACAAGCUGUGGUUAUGACCAGAACUAAGAGCCCCCAUGAUUGUGCACCUUGGAUAGUGGCAACGUUGGUCUUCAAUCCGCU
rnacentral:lncRNA from 1 species